rnacentral:rRNA from 1 species
CCUGACCAUUUCACCUGGAAUGCGCCCAAUCUCAUCAGAUCUCAGAAGCUAAGCAGCGCUGAACCUAGAUAGUGCCUGGAUGGGAAAUCACCAUGCAUUGUAGUGGGUGUUAUUAGAU